ensembl:snoRNA small nucleolar RNA, C/D box 2
AAGUGAGAUGAUGGUAUUCCAUCUUUCGGGACUGACCUAAAAAUGGAGACUAUUUGUAACUCUGAUCACUU